rnacentral:rRNA from 1 species
AGAAUCAACGCUGGCGGCGUGCCUAACACAUGCAAGUCGAACGAGAAGGUGGAGCAAUCCACGAGUAAAGUGGCGCACGGGUGAGUAACACGUGACUAACCUACCCUUGAGUGGGGGAUAACCUAGGGAAACCUGGGCUAAUACCGCAUAAUACCUACGGGUCAAAGGAGCAAUUCGCUUAAGCGAGGGGGUCGCGGCCGAUUAGUUAGUUGGCGGGGUAAUGGCCCACCAAGACGAUGAUCGGUAUCCGGCCUGAGAGGGCGCACGGACACACUGGAACUGAAACACGGUCCAGACUCCUACGGGAGGCAGCAGUGGGGAAUUUUGCGCAAUGGGGGAAACCCUGACGCAGCAACGCCGCGUGGAGGAUGAAGUCCCUUGGGAUGUAAACUCCUUUCGAUCGGGACGAUUAUGACGGUACCGGAAGAAGAAGCCCCGGCUAACUUCGCGCCAGCAGCCGC